AAUUGACGGGACCGCACAAGCGGUGGAUGAUGUGGUUAAUUCGAUGCAACGCGAAAACCUUACCACCUUUGACAUGUACGGAAUCCUUUAGAGAUAGAGGAGUGCUCGAAAGAGAACCGUAACACAGGUGCUGCAUGGCUGUCGUCAGCUCGUGUCGUGAGAUGUUGGGUUAAGUCCCGCAACGAGCGCAACCCUUGUCAUUAGUUGCUACAUUCAGUUGGGCACUCUAAUGAGACUGCCGGUGACAAACCGGAGGAAGGUGGGGAUGACGUCAAGUCCUCAUGGCCCUUAUAGGUGGGGCUACACACGUCAUACAAUGGAUGGUACAAAGGGUCGCCAACCCGCGAGGGGGAGCCAAUCCCAUAAAGCCAGUCGUAGUCCGGAUCGCAGUCUGCAACUCGACUGCGUGAAGUCGGAAUCGCUAGUAAUCGUGGAUCAGCAUGUCACGGUGAAUACGUUCCCGGGUCUU
rnacentral:rRNA from 1 species